GAGGGUAUAGCUCAGUGGUAGAGUGCAUGUCUAGUAUGUACGAGGUCCUGGGUUCAAUUCCCAGUACCUCUG
rnacentral:tRNA from 1 species